rnacentral:rRNA from 1 species
GCAGUCGAGCGAAUGGAUUAAGAGCUUGCUCUUAUGAAGUUAGCGGCGGACGGGUGAGUACACGUGGGUAACCUGCCCAUAAGACUGGGAUAACUCCGGGAAACCGGGGCUAAUACCGGAUAACAUUUUGAACCGCAUGGUUCGAAAUUGAAAGGCGGCUUCGGCUGUCACUUAUGGAUGGACCCGCGUCGCAUUAGCUAGUUGGUGAGGUAACGGCUCACCAAGGCAACGAUGCGUAGCCGACCUGAGAGGGUGAUCGGCCACACUGGGACUGAGACACGGCCCAGACUCCUACGGGAGGCAGCAGUAGGGAAUCUUCCGCAAUGGACGAAAGUCUGACGGAGCAACGCCGCGUGAGUGAUGAAGGCUUUCGGGUCGUAAAACUCUGUUGUUAGGGAAGAACAAGUGCUAGUUGAAUAAGCUGGCACCUUGACGGUACCUAACCAAAAAGCCACGGCUAACUACGUGCCAGCAGCCGCGGUAAUACGUAGGUGGCAAGCGUUAUCCGGAAUUAUUGGGCGUAAAGCGCGCGCAGGUGGUUUCUUAAGUCUGAUGUGAAAGCCCACGGCUCAACCGUGGAGGGUCAUUGGAAACUGGGAGACUU